GCAGUCGACGAUGAACCACUUCGGUGGGGAUUAGUGGCGAACGGGUGAGUAACACGUGGGCAAUCUGCCCUGCACUCUGGGACAAGCCCUGGAAACGGGGUCUAAUACCGGAUACUGACCCGCUUGGGCAUCCAAGCGGUUCGAAAGCUCCGGCGGUGCAGGAUGAGCCCGCGGCCUAUCAGCUUGUUGGUGAGGUAAUGGCUCACCAAGGCGACGACGGGUAGCCGGCCUGAGAGGGCGACCGGCCACACUGGGACUGAGACACGGCCCAGACUCCUACGGGAGGCAGCAGUGGGGAAUAUUGCACAAUGGGCGAAAGCCUGAUGCAGCGACGCCGCGUGAGGGAUGACGGCCUUCGGGUUGUAAACCUCUUUCAGCAGGGAAGAAGCGAAAGUGACGGUACCUGCAGAAGAAGCGCCGGCUAACUACGUGCCAGCAGCCGCGGUAAUACGUAGGGCGCGAGCGUUGUCCGGAAUUAUUGGGCGUAAAGAGCUCGUAGGCGGCUUGUCACGUCGGUUGUGAAAGCCCGGGGCUUAACCCCGGGUCUGCAGUCGAUACGGGCAGGCUAGAGUUCGGUAGGGGAGAUCGGAAUUCCUGGUGUAGCGGUGAAAUGCGCAGAUAUCAGGAGGAACACCGGUGGCGAAGGCGGAUCUCUGGGCCGAUACUGACGCUGAGGAGCGAAAGCGUGGGGAGCGAACAGGAUUAGAUACCCUGGUAGUCCACGCCGUAANCGGUGGGCACUAGGUGUGGGCGACAUUCCACGUCGUCCGUGCCGCAGCUAACGCAUUAAGUGCCCCGCCUGGGGAGUACGGCCGCAAGGCUAAANCUCAAAGGAAUUGACGGGGGCCCGCACAAGCGGCGGAGCAUGUGGCUUAAUUCGACGCAACGCGAAGAACCUUACCAAGGCUUGACAUACACCGGAAACGUCCAGAGAUGGGCGCCCCCUUGUGGUCGGUGUACAGGUGGUGCAUGGCUGUCNUCAGCUCGUGUCNUGANAUGUUGGGUUAANUCCCGCAACGA
rnacentral:rRNA from 1 species